GUUGUUAAAUUAUAAGAAGUACAGAAAAAUGGAAAAAAAAAUAAAUAGAGAUAAAUGGUAUAAAGAAUUAGAUAGGAAUGAACUGAAGGACCCUCAAUCCAGACCAUCGGUAAGAAAGGUAGUUUUGUGAAAUGAUUCAUAUUUAAAAAUAAUUUAUAUAGUCUAGAUCCCGCUAACUUGUUUAACCCCACCACAUUAUUUAUGUAUGUGUCUGUCCCAAGUCAGGAGCCUGUAAUUCAGUGGUUGUCAUUUGUUUAUGUGUAACAUAUUUGUUUUUCAUUCAUUUUUUUUUAAACAAAUAAGGCCGUUUGUUUUCUUGUUUGAAUUGUUGUACAUCAUGUACAUUGUCAUAUCUGGGCCUUUCAUUGCUGACUAUAUAUGCGGUAUGGGCUUUGCUCAUUGUUGAAGGCCGUACAGUGACC
rnacentral:lncRNA from 1 species